rnacentral:misc_RNA from 1 species
AAGAACCAGAACGGUGGACCGCCAUGCGGGCAGGUGUCGGGAAAACUUCUCUUGUUCAUCUGAUUGUCAAAGGUUCUUCUGUUGCUCGCCCUCCUCAGACAGUUGGAUGUACAGUUGGUGUAAAGCACAUUACUUACAUGAAUUCUGGUAGCUCUUCAAGCAGCAUUAAAGGUGAUGCAGAGAGAGAUUUCUUUGUAGAACUAUGGGAUGUGUCAGGGCAUGACAGAUAUAAAGAUUGCCGGUCUUUGUUCUACUCGCAGAUAAAUGGGGUUAUUUUUGUACAUGAUCUCUCCCAGAGAAGAACUAAAACAAGCUUGCAGAAAUGGGCAUCUGAAAUUGCUGCAACUGGGACAUUUUCA